GAAUGACUUCUAUUACAUACAAGAUGUAAGGGACAGCUAUCCUUUAAUUUAAACCAUUAAUUCGGACCAUUAUUCUGAGUAUCAGACAACAAGAAUUUUUCAUCGCAAAACCUGGAAACCCGAAGAAAAAAAUCUGGAUGCUUUUUAUACCUCUUCGGUGUAUCACCUCCGAUAAUCAAUUAAUCAAAAUCAAGUUUUAAAAUUUUUAUAACGUUGCCAAAGAAAACACAAUUGAUUAAAAAUAUAUUUUCUAAGUAGUAAACUAUCCAGGUUGUUGGCUCGUGAAGAUGUAAACUCAAGAACAGGUCAUCCAAUUGGCAUAGUGCCGCAUACCUAAAUUUUUAUCUUGAAGCAGCUAAAAUACCUAUCUUCAAUAGGUACCAUAGUUGUCUACCAUAUUUAUAGCUUUUGCUAGGUGUAAGUUUCGGUAAUUUUUUCAAAAGACUAUUUUAAUUCUGAUUUUUGUUCAUAUUGGCAAAUACGAAAUUAAUUAAGAAUUAAUGGGAAAUUGUACACAGCGUAUAAUACUUAAAAACAAGAUUUUAACAUUAAUAGAAGACUGAAAGAGGUGCUUUAAUCUUCAGGGAAUAAUGAGAAAUCCGGGGAGAGGAUGAUCGUCGAUUAAUCGCCUCCCAGAGAUAAUGCCUGGACAAUACGAGGGUCAGCUUUACUUCCUUCGCGGAAUUCUUCGAGCGUGAGGCGAUCAUCAUGAUUCUUGUCCAUCUGAUCGAAGAUCUUAUCGACGCGCUUUUGUGGAGUGUUCUCAUCUUCUGGCUGUGGUGUUUGCCC
rnacentral:misc_RNA from 1 species